rnacentral:rRNA from 1 species
GGAUGAACGCUAGCUACAGGCUUAACACAUGCAAGUCGAGGGGCAGCAUGGUCUUAGCUUGCUAAGGCCGAUGGCGACCGGCGCACGGGUGAGUAACACGUAUCCAACCUGCCGUCUACUCUUGGACAGCCUUCUGAAAGGAAGAUUAAUACAAGAUGGCAUCAUGAGUCCGCAUGUUCACAUGAUUAAAGGUAUUCCGGUAGACGAUGGGGAUGCGUUCCAUUAGAUAGUAGGCGGGGUAACGGCCCACCUAGUCUUCGAUGGAUAGGGGUUCUGAGAGGAAGGUCCCCCACAUUGGAACUGAGACACGGUCCAAACUCCUACGGGAGGCAGCAGUGAGGAAUAUUGGUCAAUGGGCGAGAGCCUGAACCAGCCAAGUAGCGUGAAGGAUGACUGCCCUAUGGGUUGUAAACUUCUUUUAUAAAGGAAUAAAGUCGGGUAUGGAUACCCGUUUGCAUGUACUUUAUGAAUAAGGAUCGGCUAACUCCGUGCCAGCAGCCGCGGUAAUACGGAGGAUCCGAGCGUUAUCCGGAUUUAUUGGGUUUAAAGGGAGCGUAGAUGGAUGUUUAAGUCAGUUGUGAAAGUUUGCGGCUCAACCGUAAAAUUGCAGUUGAUACUGGAUAUCUUGAGUGCAGUUGAGGCAGGCGGAAUUCGUGGUGUAGCGGUGAAAUGCUUAGAUAUCACGAAGAACUCCGAUUGCGAAGGCAGCCUGCUAAGCUGCAACUGACAUUGAGGCUCGAAAGUGUGGGUAUCAAACAGGAUUAGAUACCCUGGUAGUCCACACGGUAAACGAUGAAUACUCGCUGUUUGCGAUAUACUGCAAGCGGCCAAGCGAAAGCGUUAAGUAUUCCACCUGGGGAGUACGCCGGCAACGGUGAAACUCAAAGGAAUUGACGGGGGCCCGCACAAGCGGAGGAACAUGUGGUUUAAUUCGAUGAUACGCGAGGAACCUUACCCGGGCUUAAAUUGCAGAUGAAUUACGGUGAAAGCCGUAAGCCGCAAGGCAUCUGUGAAGGUGCUGCAUGGUUGUCGUCAGCUCGUGCCGUGAGGUGUCGGCUUAAGUGCCAUAACGAGCGCAACCCUUGUUGUCAGUUACUAACAGGUUCCGCUGAGGACUCUGACAAGACUGCCAUCGUAAGAUGUGAGGAAGGUGGGGAUGACGUCAAAUCAGCACGGCCCUUACGUCCGGGGCUACACACGUGUUACAAUGGGGGGUACAGAGGGCCGCUACCACGCGAGUGGAUGCCAAUCCCCAAAACCUCUCUCAGUUCGGACUGGAGUCUGCAACCCGACUCCACGAAGCUGGAUUCGCUAGUAAUCGCGCAUCAGCCACGGCGCGGUGAAUACGUUCCCGGGCCUUGUACACACCGCCCGUCAAGCCAUGGGAGCCGGGGGUACCUGAAGUGCGUAACCGCGAGGAGCGCCCUAGGGUAAAACUGGA